AGGGUGGGGCGGGUGCUCUCCUGUGUGGGGCCCGGGCAGGCCAGUCGCAGAGCGAGGCUGGGUCCCGUUUGGUGGCCCAGGCAGGCUCGGUGAGGCCAGAGAAGGGAGGCAGGCCUGGAGUUGGUGGAGGCUGCUCCCAGCACAUGCCUGGGGGGCCCGGUGCCCAGGGGGAGCGGGGAGCUCAGACAUUACUCUCCAGUGGGCGAGGGCCCGGACGUCGCAGGAGAUGCUGCAGCCCGUGCCACGUGUAGGUGGCGGGGCGCUGGGGUGGACGCCAGCUCCGCUCUCCACUGGCUCGUGCAGAUCACGCUCUUCCUGGCGCUCGGCCAGUGCCUGGCGUGCGCCGGGAUCCUUGAGGCCACCAUCCAGUCCCCAGCUGCGCGCCUCUUCUUCGGCCCCAUGGUCCCGGUGCUAUCGGACGCGCUCGGCACCUUCCGCCGCGUGGUCCCGGCCUUGCUUGUCUUCUCCAUGUCCGUGUUAGCAGCCUCGCUCCUCUACGCCGGCAUCCCGGGGCUGCGGGCUCUGCUCCCCGGCGCCCUCCCGCCUGGCUGGUGAGCGCCCGGCAAAGCCCCGGCUCAAUACAGCCGCAGACAGAGA